CACUCUGUGCUGAAUACAGUGCUAGUCACUUUGGAGGAAACACAAAGCAAAGAAGCACCACCUCCCCUCAAGAGACUUCCAAUCUCCCCAAGUGGUGCAGACAAGACAAAACAGAUGAAGCAAGAAGAAAUUAUAUCAUAUCCAUCAAAUUUUGCUCAAGUUGUAGAGUCUGGAGAGCAUAAAUUUAUCUUAACUUCAUUAAAAAACUCACAGGCAGAAUUACAGGGCACUGAGUUUAACCGGGGAAGACAUUGGAGUAACCUUUGUGCCUUGUAAAGACACAUUGAUUGGAGCCAACUCUACCCUUUGACUCAAUAAUCAAAAUCUUGGUAUUUGAUCAGAAUUCUGGAGGCCAGAAGUCUGAAACCAAGAUGUCGGCCCCCCCUUCAGAGGCUCUAGGGGUGGAAUCUAUUCCUAAAUUCUUCCAGUGUCAAGCAGCUGUCAGCAUUCCUCGGCUUGUGGCCACAUCUCUCUCUGCUCCAUCUUCACAUCACCUUCUCCGGUAUGCAUCUGUGUUUAAUUUUCAUCUGCCUCUCUCUUAUAGGGGUCCACGUGGUUGCAUUUAGGGCUAACCCAGGAUAAACCCCUCCUCUCAAGAUCCUAAUUUAAUCACAUCCAUUGCCAUGCAAGGUGAUAUUAACAGGUCCCAGGGAUCAGGAAGUGAAUAUAUAUUUGAGGAACUAUUUUUUCCGCCAACCAUACCUGUCUAAAUUUGGUGCUGUUGUCAGAAUGCUUGUGUUCCCUCAAAAUUCAUACGUUGAAAUCCUAAUGCCUAUAGCGAUAGUAUUAGGAGAUAGGGACUUUGAGAAGUGCUUAAGUCAUGAAUGUGGAGCGGUCAUAAAUGGGAUUAGUCUUCUUGCAAAAGA